GCCACGCCCGCUACAAGAAACUUAAAGGAAGUUCGACGGGCCCCGCACAAGCAGCGGAGCGUGUGGUUUAAUUCGAUGCUACACGAAGAACCUUACCAGGGUUUGACAUACAAGUAGUAGGGAAAGGAAACUGGACCGACCCUUCGGGGAGCUUGAACAGGUGCUGCAUGGCUGUCGUCAGCUCGUGUCGUGAGAUGUUCGGUUAAGUCCGCUAACGAGCGCAACCCUCGCUGUGUGUUACAAGUGUCACACGGAACUGCCGGUCAUAAACCGGAGGAAGGUGGGGAUGACGUCAAGUCAGCAUGGCCUUUAUAUCCUGGGCUACACACACGCUACAAUGGGAAGGGACAAUAGGUUGCGAAACCGCGAGGUGGAGCCAAUCCAGCAAAACUUCCCUCAGUUCAGAUUGCAGGCUGCAACUCGCCUGCAUGAAGUUGGAGUUGCUAGUAAACGCAGGUCAGCCAUACUGCGUUGAAUACGUUCCCGGGGCUU
rnacentral:rRNA from 1 species